rnacentral:rRNA from 1 species
UGAAUACCAGACGCUACGGCGUUGAAGCAGUGUAUGUCAGACUUCCAAGAAAAGCUCGCAAUGUCCGAAAUAAAAUAAUGCCUGUACCAUAACCGACACAGGUGGGUAGGUAGAGUAUACUAAGGGGCGCGAGAUAACUCUCUCUAAGGAACUCGGCAAAAUAACUCCGUAACUUCGGGAGAAGGAGUGCCUUAUUUUAAGGUUGCAAUAACAAGAUCCAAGCAACUGUUUACCAAAAACACAGGUCUCCGCUAAGUCGUAAGACGAUGUAUGGGGGCUGACGCCUGCCCAGUGCCAGAAGGCUAAAGAAGUUGGUUAGCUAUUGCGAAGCUGAUGACUGAAGCCCUGGUGAACGGCGGCCGUAACAAUAACGGUCCUAAGGUAGCGAAAUUCCUUGUCGGGUAAGUUCCGACCCGCACGAAAGGCGUAAUGAUUUGGAUACUGUCUCGGAGAGGGGCUCGGUGAAAUAGACUUGUCUGUGAAGAUGCGGACUACCUGCACCUGGACAGAAAGACCCUAUGAAGCUUUACUGUAACUUGAAAUUGAAAUUGGACUUUAUUUGCGCAGUAUAGGUGGGAGGCGUUUGAAGAUAUUCUUGCGGGAAUGUUGGAGCCAUUAGUGAGAUACCACUCUUGUAAUGUUAGAUUUCUAACUUUGUACCAUAAUCUGGUCAAAGAACAGUUUCAGGCGGGCAGUUUGACUGGGGCGGUCGCCUCCCAAAUGGUAACGGAGGCGUACAAAGGUUUCCUCUGAACGUGUAGAAAUCGUAUCUAGAGUGUAAAGGCAUAAGGAAGCUUGACUGUGAGACCUACAAGUCAAGCAGGGACGAAAGUCGGUCUUAGUGAUCUGACGGUACUGAGUGGAAAGGCCGUCACUCAACGGAUAAAAGUUACUCUAGGAUAACAGGCUGAUCUCCCCCAAGAGUUCACAUCGACGGGGAGGUUUGGCACCUCGAUGUCGGCUCAUCGCAUCCUGGGGCGGUAGUACGUCCCAAGGGUUGGGCUGUUCGCCCAUGAAAGCGGUACGCGAGCUGGGUUCAGAACGUCGUGAGACAGUUCGGUCCAUAUCCGGUGUAGGCGUUAGAAUAUUGAGAGGAGCCUUCUUUAGUACGAGAGGACCGAGAAGGACAUACCUCUGGUGUACCAGUUAUCGUGCCAACGGUAAACGCUGGGUAGCUAUGUAUGGAGAGGAUAACCGCUGAAAGCAUCUAAGUGGGAAGCCCACCUCGAGAU